rfam:Desulfurella acetivorans A63, complete genome.
GCAAGUAGGUGGGGGGUCGCUGGUUUAAAACCAGAGGAAAGUCCAGGCUCUAUCGGAUCAAAGCGCCCCUAAAAAGGGUUGGAGUAAUCCACAGGAAAGCGCAACAGAAAAGAAGUUGCUUAAAAAGUGAUUUACUUUUUAAGCAAAAAGUGAAAUGGUGAGGUAAGAGCUCACCGCACAACCAGUAAUGGUUGUGGCAUUGCAAGCCCCGCUUAGAGCAAGACCAAAUAGGGAGAUUGGCCUGAUCCGAGCCUAUAAUCUCCGGGUAGGUCGCUUAGAUAAAUGACCUCCAAAGGAUUUAUUCCUUUACAGAACCUGGCUUAUAGCCUGCUUGCCUUA